ACAGCUGCUGCUGACGUGCCCAGCGCCCGUACCCGAGGCCGUAUGAAUACGCGCGUGCCUUCCCGACGAUUGCGUCACCGUUGAGGACCGGGUCGUGCUUGCCGCAGCUCCACCAAAGCCACCGGAGCCGCCAUGGUCACGAGCUCCACGAACCCCAAGCCGGGCUCCAGCCCCCUCAUACCACAGAUCAUCACCACCCGAAGGCGGCAAGGGCGGCGGCGGCGGCGGCGGGGGCACAUCCACCACAUCAGAAUCCACCUCCACUAGCUCCCCAAGAACCGUAAUGUCGAUCGGGUACCAUAGAGUCGACGCACAUUUGCCAACAGGCACCUGCUCAGCCGCCGCGCCCGCCUACAGAUUCCGGCGCGGCUCGUCAAUGAAGAGCAGCUGGUGCCGCGGGAUUCGCUUUGGCCGAUCCGUAUGUAACCACACUCUGAAAUACUCCAUAUCAUGGCGACGCGCCGUGCUCUUAUCCACGCCCACCACAUAGCCAAGACCCCACAGGAUCACACCCGCCGUCCACUGGCACCAGGCAUGCGCAGGGACACCACGGAGCGACACCAGGACGAGGAACGGCAAAUGUGUUGCCGUGGCCUGAGCCUGGCGCAACCAAGGGCGCAACUUUAGCUCGAACUAGGGUGCAGUCAUCCUCUCUGCGCGGACCAUCCUCUCCGGGACCGCCCCGUCAUGGUAGAGUACCAGGAAAUCCUUGGGGUAAAACGCCCGAAUUGACAUGGCCUCCGUACCAACUCCAAACUUCGCGUGGAGCGCCGCUGCUGCCGAGGCCAGGUCAACCGCGGGGCGCGUACCGGCAAAGGUGACAAGCACGACACGGGUGAGCUACUCCUCCAACCGCGAGAUGUCCUCGGACGCCUCCAGGAAGCAUGCUUCCACCGGCUCCACCGGGAGAAGUUCCCUCGGUGCCAGCUCCACGCCACACGGGUUGAAAGGGACGGAGAAUUCCG
rnacentral:lncRNA from 1 species